GAAGUGAAUCCAGACUGAGAAACUGGUUCACAUUUUUAAACUCUUCUACGCUUUGUCUUCUCAGAAAACCAGGGACAGAAGUGGCCUGAGAAACCAUUCAUUCGCCCUCUCGUUUCUCUGCCGGCUCGAACGAUUGUUUCAGUGCAUUUUCAGUUGGAAGGAGUCAGCAUUUGACAGUUCCGAGCUCUUGGAUUUUAGAUUCUGCUUUCUUCUUUGUGGCCGGAUUCAGCCCCUGUCAAAAAGGAGACUUCUGCUUCUGACGGAGAACGAUUCAAAAGACUCUGGAUCUGGGGUGACCCAGGUAUGACCGCUCGCACAAACAAACAUGAUUCUGUGGUGGCACCCAGGGGUGCUGGCUGCAGGGAAGCCUUGGUGAACAGAAUUUCAGAAAACGACACGCCUCUCUCACGGACGAGCAGCCAGGCACAGCGGCUCGCAUUCCUGGAUAAGUCACCGAGCUGGGUGGGUGGCAGAGCAGUGGCCUUGCCUGGCACUGAGAGGCCCCUUGGAGGAGGGGACGAGGACAACAGCCAAGCUUUGAGUUAGGCUGGAAUCUGGGAGAGCCCCAAACAAAAAGAAAUGAACAAAUCAUGUAACCCCGUAAUCGCCUCCCUCAGCCCCGGAUUCGUGCUGAGAAAGGGCAGAGGAGGAGCCCUGGGAAGCUUUCUGGAACAUUCGCCCAGUGAUUGGUGCCAGGUCCCUGCCGGAGAGGAAGCCAAAGGUGACCCGGAAUGCUGACACUGCGCCUGUCCCCUCCUCGGCCAAAGACUGACAAGAUCCAAGAUUUGGGCCCCUCGGCGUGGCAGCUGAGAAGUCUGACACUUGGCUGACCAGAGGGGAGCUCGGCCUAAUGAGACCCGUGGCUCACCCACCCCUGUUUUCUUACUCUGGGGGGUUCCCAGAGGUCGGCCCCUCAACCUGGAACAGCCUGCUCUCUGCAAAAGAGAAGACAAAAUUUAAAAAAUUCAGAUUUCAGGAGAAGCAAUUCAUGGAAGGACAUAUCGUGCUUGUCACAUGCUUUACCUGGAAUCCUGGUCUCUGACAUCAAGUCUCCUCAUCGGCUGUGCUGAAACCCGACCCCUUAAGUGAAAUAAAGAGGUGCUGCGCCUAAGA